AAUUUAUUUCAAUAAAUUACACUGUCCAAGUCACCUAUAACAGUCUGACUAAACUGGAUAAUGGUAACUAUGACUAAGAAGCCACCAGAACGUCAAUGACGUAACCAAUCACUAUGGCUAAAGCCAUAAUAAUAGAUACAAACAAUACGGCUAAAAAGCCAUCAGACAGAUAAUCAGAUAAUUGGCAUACAAGCCUCAGUAAUACAGGCAUAAAGCCCUCUGCAUAAAGCAUGAAAUAUAGGCAUAAAGCCCUACGCAUAAAGCAUUACAUACAGGCAUAAAGCCCUGCGCAUAAAAGCGUUAUGUAGUACUACUCAAACAUUACCCUAUUGGCAUGUUAACCUAUUCAAUCUGACACACGUGUCUAGGCA
rnacentral:misc_RNA from 1 species